GACGAACGCUGGCGGCGUGCCUAAUACAUGCAAGUCGAGCGAGCGGAACCAACAGAUUUACUUCGGUAAUGACGUUGGGAAAGCGAGCGGCGGAUGGGUGAGUAACACGUGGGGAACCUGCCCCUAAGUCUGGGAUACCAUUUGGAAACAGGUGCUAAUACCGGAUAAUAAAGCAGAUCGCAUGAUCAGCUUUUGAAAGGCGGCGUAAGCUGUCGCUAAGGGAUGGCCCCGCGGUGCAUUAGCUAGUUGGUAAGGUAACGGCUUACCAAGGCGACGAUGCAUAGCCGAGUUGAGAGACUGAUCGGCCACAUUGGGACUGAGACACGGCCCAAACUCCUACGGGAGGCAGCAGUAGGGAAUCUUCCACAAUGGACGCAAGUCUGAUGGAGCAACGCCGCGUGAGUGAAGAAGGUUUUCGGAUCGUAAAGCUCUGUUGCUGGUGAAGAAGGAUAGAGGUAGUAACUGGCCUUUAUUUGACGGUAAUCAACCAGAAAGUCACGGCUAACUAC
rnacentral:rRNA from 1 species